GGACAAUAAGGCCAAAGACCAGACAACUAACAACUCAGUGGAUCCAUUUCCUGAAGCUGAUGAUGAUGUCACAUACAGCACUGUCAUCCCCCAGCACAAGACCCAACUAAAAGGACAGACCAAGUCAGCAGAACCAGAUGAUAAUGUGGUCUACAGCUCACUAGCUCUACA